UACAGAUGGUGCAAGCGUUAAUCGGAAUUAAUGGGCGUAAAGCGCGAGUGGGUGGUUUGUUAAGUUUGAUGUGAAAUCCCCGGGCUCAACCUGGGAACUGCAUUCAAAACUGACAAGCUAGAGUAUGGUAGAGGGUGGUGGAAUUUCCUGUGUAGCGGUGAAAUGCGUAGAUAUAGGAAGGAACACCAGUGGCGAAGGCGACCACCUGGACUGAUACUGACACUGAGGUGCGAAAGCGUGGGGAGCAAACAGG
rnacentral:rRNA from 1 species